CGACCACUGGCGGCGUGCCUACUACAUGCAAGUCGAGCGAAGUUUUUCUGGUGCUUGCACCGGAAAAACUUAGCGGCGAACGGGUGAGUAACACGUAAAGAACCUGCCUCAUAGACUGGGACAACUAUUGGAAACGAUAGCUAAUACCGGAUAAUAGCAUUAACUGCAUGGUUGAUGUUUAAAAGUUGGUUUUGCUAACACUAUGAGAUGGCUUUGCGGUGCAUUAGCUAGUUGGUGGGGUAAGGGCCUACCAAGGCGACGAUGCAUAGCCGACCUGAGAGGGUGAUCGGCCACACUGGGACUGAGACACGGCCCAGACUCCUACGGGAGGCAGCAGUAGGGAAUCUUCCGCAAUGGGCGAAAGCCUGACGGAGCAACGCCGCGUGAGUGAAGAAGGAUUUCGGUUCGUAAAGCUCUGUUGUUAGGGAAGAAUGAUUGUGCAGUAACUAUACACAGUAGAGACGGUACCUAACCAGAAAGCCACGGCUAACUACGUG
rnacentral:rRNA from 1 species